rnacentral:rRNA from 1 species
GAUGAACGCUGGCGGCGUGCCUAAUACAUGCAAGUCGAGCGAACGGACGAGAAGCUUGCUUCUCUGAUGUUAGCGGCGGACGGGUGAGUAACACGUGGAUAACCUACCUAUAAGACUGGGAUAACUUCGGGAAACCGGAGCUAAUACCGGAUAAUAUUUUGAACCGCAUGGUUCAAAAGUGAAAGACGGUCUUGCUGUCACUAAUAGAUGGAUCCGCGCUGCAUUGGCUAGUUGGUAAGGUAACGGCGUACCAAGGCAACGAUGCAUAGCCGACCUGCGAGGGUGGUCGGCCACACUGGAACUGAGACACGGUCCAGACGCCUACGGGAGGCAGCAGUAGGGAAUCUUCCGCAAUGGGCGAAAGCCUGACGGAGCAACGCCGAGUGAGUGAUGAAGGUCUUCGGAUCGUAAAACUCUGUUAUUAGGGAAGAACAUAUGUGUAAGUAACUGUGCACAUCUUGACGGUACCUAAGCAGAAAGCCACGGCUAACUACGUG